GUCGAGCGAACAGACGAGGAGCUUGCUCCUCUGACGUUAGCGGCGGACGGGUGAGUAACACGUGGAUAACCUACCUAUAAGACCGGGAUAACUUCGGGAAACCGGAGCUAAUACCGGAUAAUAUGUUGAACCGCAUGGUUCAAUAGUGAAAGACGGUUUUGCUGUCACUUAUAGAUGGAUCCGCGCCGCAUUAGCUAGUUGGUAAGGUAACGGCUUACCAAGGCAACGAUGCGUAGCCGACCUGAGAGGGUGAUCGGCCACACUGGAACUGAGACACGGUCCAGACUCCUACGGGAGGCAGCAGUAGGGAAUCUUCCGCAAUGGGCGAAAGCCUGACGGAGCGACGCCGCGUGAGUGAUGAAGGUCUUCGGAUCGUAAAACUCUGUUAUUAGGGAAGAACAAAUGUGUAAGUAACUAUGCACGUCUUGACGGUACCUAAUCAGAAAGCCACGGCUAACUACGUGCCAGCAGCCGCGGUAAUACGUAGGUGGCAAGCGUUAUCCGGAAUUAUUGGGCGUAAAGCGCGCGUAGGCGGUUUUUUAAGUCUGAUGUGAAAGCCCACGGCUCAACCGUGGAGGGUCAUUGGAAACUGGAAAACUUGAGUGCAGAAGAGGAAAGUGGAAUUCCAUGUGUAGCGGUGAAAUGCGCAGAGAUAUGGAGGAACACCAGUGGCGAAGGCGACUUUCAGGUCUGUAACUGACGCUGAUGUGCGAAAGCGUGGGGAUCAA
rnacentral:rRNA from 1 species